rnacentral:misc_RNA from 1 species
CCCAACUAUCCCUAUUAAUCAUUACGGUGAUCCUAGAAACCAACGAAAUAGAAUCAGUCCGUCCUAUUUCAUUAUUCCAUGCUAAUGUAUUCAGACGAUAGUCUGCUUUAAACACUCUAAUUUUUUCAAAGUAACAGUCCUGAUUUCCCAUCACACCAAAUAAAUGGCAUGAAAGUUCCUCAGAAGGAAAGAUCCAGCCAAGGAUACUGACCUCGCGGUCGUACUAUCAGCCAGAUCAAAAAUUCAACUACGAGCUUUUUAACUGCAACAACUUUAAUAUACGCUAUUGGAGCUGGAAUUACCGCGGCUGCUGGCACCAGACUUGCCCUCCAA